AUUGAACGCUGGCGGCAGGCCUAACACAUGCAAGUCGAGCGGAUGAAGGGAGCUUGCUCCUGGAUUCAGCGGCGGACGGGUGAGUAAUGCCUAGGAAUCUGCCUGGUAGUGGGGGAUAACGUCCGGAAACGGGCGCUAAUACCGCAUACGUCCUGAGGGAGAAAGUGGGGGAUCUUCGGACCUCACGCUAUCAGAUGAGCCUAGGUCGGAUUAGCUAGUUGGUGGGGUAAACGCCUUCCAAGGCGACGAUCCGUAAAUGGUCUGAGAGGAUGAUUAGUCACACGGGAAGUGGAACGGCGUCCAGGCUCCUACGGGAGGGAGCAGUGGGGAAUAUUGGACAAUGGGGGAAAACCUGAUCCAGCCAUGCCGCGUGUGUGGAGGAGGUCCUCGGAUUGUAAAGCACUUUAAGUUGGGAGGAAGGGCAGUAAGUUAAUACCUUGCUGUUUUGACGUUACCAACAGAAUAAGCACCGGCUAACUUCGUG
rnacentral:rRNA from 1 species